GUAGGUGAACCUGCGGAAGGAUCAUUAAUGAAUUCUGAAAGGGGUGUAGCUGGCUGUUUCGUUUGAGCGGCAUGUGCACGCCCUGAUCAUUAUCCAUCUCACACACCUGUGCACACACUGUAGGUCGGCUUUUGAUUGGAGUGGGGUCUUCAUCGACUCUGCUUUUUAGUUGGGGCCUUCCUAUGUUUUAUCACACACUACUUCAGUUUAAAGAAUGUCCUCUUGCGUCUAACGCAUUUAAAUACAACUUUCAGCAACGGAUCUCUUGGCUCUCGCAUCGAUGAAGAACGCAGCGAAAUGCGAUAAGUAAUGUGAAUUGCAGAAUUCAGUGAAUCAUCGAAUCUUUGAACGCACCUUGCGCUCCUUGGUAUUCCGAGGAGCAUGCCUGUUUGAGUGUCAUGGAAUUCUCAACUCUAUUUGCUUUUGUGAAUAGAGCUUGGACUUGGAGGUUUAUUGCCGGUACCUGUGAUCGGCUCCUCUUGAAUGCAUUAGCUCGAACCUUUUGUGGAUCAGCUUAUCGGUGUGAUAAAAUGUCUACGCCGUUACUGUGAAGCAUAUUAUUCGGCUUCCAAUCGUCCUUCACGGGACAAUAACUUUGACCUUUGACCUCAAAUCAUGUAGGAUUACCCGCUGAACUUAACCAUAUCACUAAGCGGAGGAA
rnacentral:rRNA from 1 species